rnacentral:rRNA from 1 species
AUUGAACGCUGGCGGCAGGCUUAACACAUGCAAGUCGAGCGGGGGAAGGUAGCUUGCUACUGGACCUAGCGGCGGACGGGUGAGUAAUGCUUAGGAAUCUGCCUAUUAGUGGGGGACAACAUCUCGAAAGGGAUGCUAAUACCGCAUACGUCCUACGGGAGAAAGCAGGGGAUCUUCGGACCUUGCGCUAAUAGAUGAGCCUAAGUCGGAUUAGCUAGUUGGUGGGGUAAAGGCCUACCAAGGCGACGAUCUGUAGCGGGUCUGAGAGGAUGAACGGCCACACUGGGACUGAGACACGGCCCAGACUCCUACGGGAGGCGGCAGUGGGGAAUAUUGGACAAUGGGGGGAACCCUGAUCCAGCCAUGCCGCGUGUGUGAAGAAGGCCUUAUGGUUGUAAGGCACUUUAAGCGAGGAGGAGGCUCUUUUGGUUAAUACCCAAGAUGAGUGGACGUUACUCGCAGAAUAAGCACCGGCUAACUCUGUGCCAGCAGCCGCAGUAA